ACCCCCACCCCAUUUUCUUUUCUUUGCUCAAUUUUCUCACACGAUAUUCUGCAAGCUUCUAUAUGAACGUUCUUUUACAAACUCAUUUUCAGCUUCUCCUUCAUUCACAAUCUUUUCAAGUAAGAAUCCCUUCUACCUUUUUUCUCGCGUAAUAGUUAUGGCUAGGGAUUUUAGACACGAUAUUUUUAGUAGGGUCUAGGCUAGUGUGAAAUCGAGGGCUUUAG
rnacentral:lncRNA from 1 species